rnacentral:rRNA from 1 species
GAAUAUUGGACAAUGGGGGCAACCCUGAUCCAGCCAUGCCGCGUGUGUGAAGAAGGCCUUUUGGUUGUAAAGCACUUUAAGCAGUGAAGAAGACUCCAUGGUUAAUACCCAUGGACGAUGACAUUAGCUGCAGAAAACGACCGGGCUAACUCGGGGCAACACGCCGCGGUAAUACAGAGGGGGCAAGCGUUAAUCGGAAUUACUGGGCGUAAAGCGAGCGUAGGUGGCUUGAUAAGUCAGAUGUGAAAUCCCCGGGCUUAACCUGGGAACUGCAUCUGAUACUGUUAGGCUAGAAUAGGUGAGAGGAAGGUAGAAUUCCAGGUGUAGCGGUGAAAUGCGUAGAGAUCUGGAGGAAUACCGAUGGCGAAGGCAGCCUUCUGGCAUCAUAUUGACACUGAGGUUCGAAAGCGUGGGUAGCAAAC